GAAGAAUAUGAAGCCUUCUAAGCAUGUCCAUGUCAGAUGGAAAAAUCAGCCACUAAUAUUGCAGCAAUCAUCCAUGUCAUUUUGAUUAAUCUUGAUUUGGGCUUAGUGUUUUAUUUUAACUUUUUCUUCGUGUUGUUAUCGGGGCUCUUACCAGUUUUUGGGCCAUGACAUAUUAUUUUUCUACGAUUCCACGGUUACCGUCGCUUUGCUAACUCUACCUGGCUACACCUCCUUCCUGUAACGUUUCUGAAACACAUUGAUACCUCUUCAUAAACCUUAUCAUUUAUGGCCUCUAGACCACCAGUAAAUUUUAUUUAAGUAUCCUUCAUCUCUUCUUUGUAAUCAACUAUUCUCUGUACAUGACUUGUGACAAUUUCUUUACGAAAUACCAAGAAAGACAAAGCGACAACAAUAAACCAAAUCUGGUUGUGCUUUUUAUGUAGGCUCUUUUCUUGCUAUCAACUUUAAGUCAAGCUGGUGUAUUGGCUCUUUUCAGUCACUUUGCAAGCAAAAUCUGGUACACGUUCUGCAACACGACACAUUGAGAGCAAAUAUAAGAAACAUGUAGCUUUGUGUUAGACAUUGAGAGAUGGGUAAAAUGUUUUUUCAAAAACUUUUUCUCAUAUCAAGACAUGACAGUUCCGAUAGGUUCUGGAGCAGAACGAGAUUGUUUGAGAAGUGAGGUGCUAAUUAACUGGGCUAAAGACAAAGCAAUUGUGUAUGUUGGAGCUUAAAUUUUCAAGAACAAGAGCUUGCAGAGUUUUUAUAUUGAUGGGAACCGGUUCCGGAGCGUUGGUCAAGAGGAUUUCCUUAGCCCGAUUUGAAACCAUCAGUGUAGACGUACUUUUGUCAUAUGGCUUCUAUGUUUCUGGGAAGAGAACAAAAAGUUGUUCCGAGACAUCAUCAUUGUAAGGAAGGGGAUGUACAGAGAAAAUUUAAGGAAAAACAAUCGAGGACAUCCUACUACAAGCAGAUGAGAAAGUUAUGGGUUCAGUCUGAACACAACAUAGCUACCAUUUCCCUGCAACACUCACAUACAUGUUUCAACAUUUUUUUGUUUUUACUAAUUUCAAAUAAACAAAAUUUCUUCAGCUUCGUAUUGAAUAACAAAUAGUAUUAGACUAUUAGUUUACUUCGCAACAAAUUACAGACCAAAAUUUUGAGACGAAGUGAUCUUCAAAAUAUUUGUAUGAACAACAUAAAUAAUACAUGUAAUAGAUUUUUUUUUU